GCAAGCUGGACAGCCGCGUGGCAGGGGCGAAAGGCCCGCCAUGAGGAAAGUCCGGGCUCCACAGGGCAAGGAUAACGGGUAACGCCCGCCGAAGGCGACUUCAGGAAAAGUGCAACAGAGAUAUACCGCCCACGAAAGAUCCAGGCUAUCCGGAUACUCGUGAGUAAGGGUGGAAAGGCGGAGAUAAGCGCCCGCCCGAUGACUGGAAACUGCUCAUCGCUGUAAACUCUAUCCGGAGCAACACCGUGGUAACGCAACAGGCUGGCCCGGCUGCGUUUAGGAGGUGGCUGGAGCGCAUCGGCAACGAUGCGCCUAGAUAGAUGGCUGUCUUAAAGGACAGAACCCGGCUUACAGGCUUACUUG
rnacentral:RNase_P_RNA from 1 species